rnacentral:lncRNA from 10 species
AGGCACUUCUAGAUAUCUGUUGAGGCCUGGAAGGGGCAAAACAAUUCAGGAAGCAGUUGAAGAUAAAGGGGUUUACCAUGGAAGAGAAGAUCCAGGUGCCUUCAUGGAAAUGCUUGUGGUUGAAAAGAGAUGAAGAUGAGGGUCCCUGGAAAGAGGAAGAACCAGCCAGGAAAAUUAUACCAUUAGCAAGACUGGCAUCAGCAAGUAGUUCGCAGUGUUGGUUGUUCUUGGUUUCGCAGGAUUUUAUAGGAGG